rnacentral:tmRNA from 1 species
GGGGGUGCUUUGGCUUCGACAGGGUCACUGAAGCGUAAGUCGCAUGCCGAGGGCAGGUUGGCCUCGUAAAAAAGCCUGAAAAACACAAGUGCAAACGAAAAUUACGCACUAGCUGCUUAAAUUAGCGGCACUAAGCUCAACCCCGAUCCCGUAGGGGGAGAUGCUUAGUCAUAAAAUCGGGAUAGGACUUUAUCAUGUCUGGGGGUGAGUCCGAGAUUUACUAGACUGGCUUUGGAUUGCGCCGACCUUCUUGGGCGUAGCACAAAGCGAGAACUUAAAUUCGAAGGGAAAGCAUGUAGGAGCGCACGACGAUGCGAUUUUGGACACGGGUUCGACUCCCGUCACCUCCAUAA